CACCUCUAGCAUAACUAGUAUUAGAGGCACUGCCUGCCCAGUGACAAUCGUUAAACGGCCGCGGUAUCUUGACCGUGCAAAGGUAGCAUAAUCACUUGUUCUCUAAAUAAGGACUUGUAUGAAUGGCCACACGAAGGUUUUACUGUCUCUUACUCUUAAUCAGUGAAAUUGACCUCCCCGUGAAGAGGCGGGGAUAACACAAUAAGACGAGAAGACCCUAUGGAGCUUUAAUUAAUCAACUCAAAAAGCAUAAAACAAUACCACCAAGGGAUAACAAAGCCUUAUAUGAGUUGACAAUUUCGGUUGGGGUGACCUCGGAGUAUAAAAAACCCUCCGAGUGAUUAAAACCUAGGCCUACCAGCCAAAGUAUAAUAUCACUUAUUGAUCCAAAAUUUUGAUCAACGGAACAAGUUACCCUAGGGAUAACAGCGCAAUCCUAUUCUAGAGUCCAUAUCGACAAUAGGGUUUACGACCUCGAUGUUGGAUCAGGACAUCCUAAUGGUGCAGCAGCUAUUAAGGGUUCGUUUGUUCAACGAUUAAAGUCCU
rnacentral:rRNA from 1 species